UUGCUUUAGCAGCACAUAUACUAAAAUUGGAAAGAUACAGAGAAGAUUAGAAUGGUCCCUGCACAAAAAUGACAUGCAAAUUCGUGAAGCGUUCAAUAUUUUU
rnacentral:snRNA from 1 species